UUUAACACUUCACUUCCAGCUUUUCGUUGCACUUCCGAAAAUUUUGUAAGAAACUAUACAAACAAACUAGGAAGCGAUUAUUAACCUUGUUAUCGGCUCCUCAGCUACCAAACUAUUAUAUUGGGUAUAGUUCUCAUGAACUACUCCAACUACCAGUCGACUUACAUGAAACACGGUAAUUAUGAACCGCGGUUAAGGCGAUUUCCCGGAACAUGGGAGACAUGAAAUGCUUGAUGUUUCACCAGCAAAGACCACGGAGAAACUACUCGAAAGGUUCGAGUUUGACGUAUCACAGGAAACGAGGACUUGGAUGGUAGGAGAGUUAGGUCGAGGCGGGUAAAGCCCUGCAGCGUGCAUUAGGUUUUAUGACUGCCAAGGUCAGCUGCUUUCCAUAAGAAUGGCGCCGUGAACAUCUCAACAACUGCAGCUCAAUUAGUAGAGGAACAAGCACCAGCUUAAUCCAGAUAUGAUUAUCAUUCUUCCAUAAGAAGAUUUUGCAAGAUAAAUAUAUAUAUUUAUGUUUUGCGAUUUUCCAAUGUUUACGCAGCUCAACGUUCUUCUGGAAAGAUGGAACAUUAUCUGGCAAUAAUACAAAAAUUGAAUUAAUAUAUUCGAUUUAGAAUCUAAAUAGAAGAAAAAUUACUUAAGAAAUACCACAAGAAAUACCACAUUUGAACAUAUGAACUGAAUUGUAGUGAUAAUGGAAUUAACGUUUCCUCACGUGCGCCCUAUAUAUAUGGAGCUCUCGAAUUUGCUCUCAAUAUAGAAACUCUGUAAAUUACAGUUUUAUAAAUCCAGUUAUAAAGCAAAUAAAUUUCAUGCUUCACUUCAA